rnacentral:rRNA from 1 species
ACCAGAACCUUAUCUCCUUGUGCUUCUUGCCUGAUUUCCCACUGAAGCUAAGCAGGGUUGAGCCUGGCCAGUACUUGGCUGGGAGCCAUCCUGCGGAAAGCUAAGGGUGCUGCUGGAA